rnacentral:rRNA from 1 species
GACGAACGCUGGCGGCGUGCCUAACACAUGCAAGUCGAGCGGGGAUGUAUGGAGGAAGUUUUCGGAUGGAAUCGAUAUAUUCCAGCGGCGGACGGGUGAGUAACGCGUGAGCAACCUGCCUUUCACAGGGGGAUAACGGAUCGAAAGAUUCACUAAUACCGCAUGAGACCACGAUACCGAGUGGUGUAGGGGUCAAAGGAGCAAUCCGGUGAAAGAUGGGCUCGCGUCCGAUUAGGUAGUUGGUGGGGUAACGGCGCACCAAGCCAAUGAUCGGUAGCCGACCUGAGGAGGUGAUCGGCCACACUGGAACUGAGGGACGGUCCAGACUCCUACGGGAGGCAGCAGUGGGGAAUAUUGGGCAAUGGGGGAAACCCUGACCAGCAACGCCGCGUGAGGGAAGAAGGUUUUCGGAUUGUAAACCUCUGUCCUUGGUGAAGAGCAGAAGACGGUAGCCAAGGAGGAAGCCCCGGCUAACUACGUGCCAGCCGCCGCAGUAAGAC